GUACUCUAGUUUCUCUUCAGAUCAUAUAAAUCUUUCACCUUUUACUAAAGAUUUCCGUGGGGAGGAAUGUUUAUGAGUUUGUAAUUAAUUUUGGCUCCUACCCUGUGGAAUGC